rnacentral:rRNA from 1 species
UACGUAGGUGGCAAGCGUUAUCCGGAUUUAUUGGGCGUAAAGGGAACGCAGGCGGUCUUUUAAGUCUGAAGUGAAAGCCUUCGGCUUAACCGGAGUAGUGCAUUGGAAACUGGGAGACUUGAGUGCAGAAGAGGAGAGUGGAACUCCAUGUGUAGCGGUGAAAUGCGUAGAUAUAUGGAAGAACACCAGUGGCGAAAGCGGCUCUCUGGUCUGUAACUAACGCUGAGGUUCGAAAGCGUGGGUAGCAAACAGG